CACCGAGAAAAGCGAUUUCGAAUCGAUUAACUAUUAAUAUGAGCUCUUUCCUCGCGGGUAUACAAAAACUGGCGAUUUUUAUUUGUCAUUUCUUAUCGGAAAUAAUAUUUUUAAUAUUACUUUUUUUUGCACGUAGUUUAUUUUAAAAGAUUUUGCUCGAACACUCUGUUUAGAACUCUGUUAUCUAGAUGUCAUUUUAAUUUCUAGACGAGACUUAACAGUUUUCUAAAAAUUUAUCACAGGUUUUGUAAAUAAUUUUGAAGUAAUGUAUCGCCUGCAAUAAGGGCCAAUAAAUUGAAUGGAAAUUUCUGCACUCCGGGAUAAGCCAUUUUUGUAAAUUCAGUGUGUCAUAAUUUGUAAGAUCGUAUAGAUUUCUGUGAUUAAUCGGAGAACUGGCGAGAGAAGACGCAGAGUUAGGCAGCAUAUUGCAUAUAAAUGUAUUUACGAGAAUGCAGUUAAAUUCCAUAUUGAGACAAUACGAUUGGACUUUCAUCUUGGAUUUCUCCGCGAUCGUCUUGUCUCGUCUUGUUUAUCGAAUUUUUUGAAAUUCCUGGUUCAUCGCUACUCCGUUCUUACGUUCAGACUAUCUGUCUCUUACGACUCUUCGGUUCUUGAGAGGUCGGGAGAAGUCGCUAGCUUCGUGCGAGAGUUUACUGAAUGACGUGCAUUAUGUCGCGUUCUCCGUGAUCGCAGUGAGCGACGUAACGCAAAUGGAGCGUUAUUCUGAUCUGCACUUUAGCCACAAUUUACAACUACAGCUAUCAUAAAAAUGUUUGAAUACUGCCACGGACAAAACAAUUUACUGACACGUGGCUCUGUAUGAAAACAAUUAAUUUAUAAUCAACGGGUUCCAAAACCUGAUUCUUAUCUUAUAUAUAAUAAUUUAUUUGAGAAUCCAUAUUUUAUUUACAAAUUAAAAUAAUUUUCUCUCUAUUACUGGAAACAUAAAAUACUUUUUUUUAUUUUAUAUAUAUAUAUAUGAUGCACCCAAAGAGAAUAACAACUAUUUUUAAGCUGUGAAAAUACUUGAUUCUAUUUCCCACGAUUUUUUUUUAAACGUAAAAGAAACGCAGGUGUGUAUAUCCCUCCAUUUACAAUUUUUAUUAAUCGGGCCUGAAUCGCGGCUUAGCUCCCAACGUAGGUAACCGAGCCCCUAGUUUAAGCUUAUUUCAGCCCCAGUGGCGGCACGAAUUUGAUCACCUGCACAGUUAAGUUCCAUCCACCGUAAAGUCUUGUUCGUCUCACGCCGGGAUAACGACGCGACGGCGUUACCCUCGGUCUUGGACCUCUUCCAGUCCGAGGUCCCGUCGUGUUCUUCCUCAUCGUGUUCUUCCUCCUCGCGCCAGUAUACACCGAUGUCGCUCUGCGUUCGUUUCCUUCUGCUUCUUCAUCGUCGGCGCCGCCGCCGUCCCCGACGUCCCACUUGUCCCGUUCUAUUUCGGCGUGAUUUUCUGCCCGGCGUUCUCGCGGCGGCGCAUUCAAGAUAUCCUACAUUAGACUUGCGGAAGAAAAAGAACUUCAUCCGGUCUGCUACUUUGGAAUAUGCGGCAUAGGAAUAAACCUGUACUCCGCAUGCACGCUGACCUGCAUGCACCUACUCGUCGCGCACGAGAAGAUACGGAGAGAUUCUUUCGUGCAGGAAUUGGGACGAUUGGUUGCCGCAAGAAUAGUGAAAGAUCGGAAAAUUAUGUCUGUGUGGAACUAUGUAUAAGCACAUGUAUAAUCUAAGUGAUUUUAAAUUCAAAAUUUCUCCACGAAAUCGUUUUUAGCUUUGGAAAAUUAUCGAUGAGAUAUAUGUUCCUGUACCGUUACCAUAAAAGAGAGAUGAUAUAUCAUUUUCAAGCUCUGGUUGAAAUGCAAAUAUGAAAUACUCGUUUCGUUGAGCAUGUAGGUAUUUAAGCUUUUUUUUAACGUUGUCUAAUCUUGAGCUCUCUGAUUGAACUUUUGACAAAUCGUGUCUAUUUGCGCGAAUGUUAUCAAUUAAAAAAAAAAUAUUUUUCUCUUUAACGAUGAAGCUUUUUUUUUAUUUUCUAGUAUGGCUAUUAUAAUCGUAAAAGUCGACCAUUCUUAUAACAAUAAAGUACAUAUAGUACUUAAAUAUAUCAAUAGUAUAAAAAUGAAAAAGAUUAAUGAUUUA